AUCAACUUUCGAUGGUAGGAUAGAGGCCUACCAUGGUGGUAACGGGUAACGGGGUGUUAGGGCACGACACCGGAGAGGGAGCCUGAGAAACGGCUACCACAUCCAAGGAUGGCAGCAGGCGCGCAAAUUACCCAAUCCCGACACGGGGAGGUAGUGACAAUAAAUAACAAUACGGGGUUCUUUCGGAUUUCGUAAUUGGAAUGAGUACAAUUUAAAUCUCUUAACGAGGAACAAUUGGAGGGCAAGUCUGGUGCCAGCAGCCGCGGUAAUUCCAGCUCCAAUAGCGUAUAUUAAAGUUGUUGCAGUUAAAAAGCUCGUAGUUGAAUUUCGGGAUCAAUAUAUUGGUCGUGCCUUUGGUAUGCACUGGUAUCAUUGAUUUCUACCUUCUGACGAACURUGAUGUCAUUAAUUUGGUGUCAURGGGAAUCAGGACUGUUACUUUGAAAAAAUUAGAGUGUUUAAAGCAGGCACACGCUUGAAUACAUUAGCAUGGAAUAAUGAAAUAGGACGUUUGACCCUAUUUUGUUGGUUUCUAGGAUCGACGUAAUGAUUAAUAGGGAUAGUUGGGGGCAUUAGUAUUCAAUUGUCAGAGGUGAAAUUCUUGGAUUUAUUGAAGACUAACUACUGCGAAAGCAUUUGCCAAGGAUGUUUUCAUUAAUCAAGAACGAAAGUUAGGGGAUCGAAGACGAUCAGAUACCGUCGUAGUCUUAACCAUAAACUAUGCCGACUAGGGAU
rnacentral:sRNA from 1 species